rnacentral:rRNA from 1 species
AGACAGAGGAGGCGAGCAUUGCUCGGAAUCACUGGGCUUAAAGCGGGUGUAGGCGGCCGCGCAAGUGUCGUGUGAAAGCCCACGGCUCAACCGUGGAACAGCACGGCAAACUGCGUGGCUUGAGGUCGGCAGAGGUGGCUGGAAUUCUCGGUGGAGCGGUGAAAUGCGUAGAUAUCUAGAGGAACGCCGGAGGCGAAAGCGGGCCACUGGGCCGGUUCUGACGCUGAGACCCGAAAGCGUGGGGAGCAAACAGGAUUAGAAACCCCAGUAGUCC